rnacentral:rRNA from 1 species
CCUGAUGAUAAGUAAAGUCUCCCCGUGUGUAGUCCAUUGGACUGGAUGCGCGGUGGUGGACGGGCCCGGUCUUCCUUGGUGGGGGAGGCCUGGGUUAAGUAAGGCCCCUUGGCUUUGGGGGCGGUGACUAGGCUGGGACGGUGCACUGACAAAACCGUUUUUUUCCAGUUAUAGAGCCGUUUCCAGUCGGUCGGGCCAGGGCAUGUCCAGUCCCAUAAUUGGUGGUGGGGCGCCCCUCCUUGGCUCUGAGGCCUUGUCGCCCUCAGUGUCCGUCGGAGUCUCUAAGAUUGGCCUUGUGCCAAUAACAUGCCAGCGAAGACGUCCUUGUUCACUCCAUUCUAUAUUAUAUUAUAUUAUACCUUACAGGACAAGACCUAGCUGGUCCGCAUGUGGCGGGAUGACUUGGGUUUGGGAGAGGGGUUCCAGAAGGAGACUGGGUAGCAAUAGAGGUGGCGUUGCUAGUGCGCUGCUGAGGAGCAACCGGCCAGUUGGUCCGCGCUACUUGGUUGAUCUCUGGACUCUUGUUUUGGAUGUAAGGUAGGCAUCCACAAGUGCGUUGGCGUGCUCCACGCUCCACUCCCGCCAUGGCCUAAUCAUCUGAAGUUAUGGGCCUCGACGAUUGAUGUGAGUCGAGGGGGCCAUCUGUUUGGCCUGGCAUGGACCUAAACCUACACGUGGUGCCCCUGUUCUUGGCUGAUUAGGUCUAUAACAUCAAGCCGAGUUUUUCCAAUGGGUUUAUCGAGAUAACUCUCAACAAUGGAUCUCUAGGCUCUUGCAUCGAUGAAGAACGCAGUGAACUGCGAUAACUGGUGUGAGUUGCACGGCACUUCUAAUCUAACACCAAGCGAAUCAUCGAGUCUUUGAACGCAAACGGCACCCUUCCAGUCCAUUCCAACGCGGUGGCGGAGGAUGAAGACAAGGGUAUCUCUGGCUGAGGGUAAUGGAAACUGAUCCAGUGUGCCACACUGGUCACUGGGGAUUGGGCUUGCUUGGGGCAGUAUUGCUCUGGCUUGCCUUAAAAUCAAGCGUUGUGUGGAUUGGACUUUUCAAGCAUGCAUUGGGGACGCAGGCUCUGGCCGCUGACCGUCAUUAGGUGCUUUGAUUGGGGUUUUUCAGUCUAGCCAAUAUAAGGCUGGGUUGGAGACUUUGGGGCUGCAUUUGAUGACCGUGCAUGGUGCAUGAUUGGACCUCUUCAACUAGCGAUUUAUCAUCUGAUAUCAUCAUUAUCCAUGGGUACCUCAGUCAAG